rnacentral:tRNA from 1 species
AUUUAAGUAAUUUAAAUUAAAAUUUUGAUUUGUGGCAUCAAAAAUGUAUUAUUAAAAUACCUUAAAUA